CGACUGGACAACGUGAAGCGACACCUCAAAGGAAAAUCCACUAGGAAAUUUUAUUUUUGGUCAAAUUAAGAAUUUGCAGCGCUGCUCCUCAGUGUGGUGUUUGCGUCGCCGCCCCCUGCUGGUCCAACAUGUUCCUGCUGCUCCUGACGGCCGCCGCCCUGUCGCACCUGACGAGUCACAUGACAGAGGCGAUUAUGGCUCCGACCACUUUGAUGUUGGGCUGUUCCACGAAGGUUUAUGGACGAUAUUACGAGAAGAUUUAUGUGAG